UGCCCUAGACAGGGGGAUAACUAUUGGAAACGAUGGCUAAGACCGCAUAGGUACGGACACUGCAUGGUGACCGUAUUAAAAGUGCCUCAAAGCACUGGUAGAGGAUGGACUUAUGGCGCAUUAGCUGGUUGGCGGGGUAACGGCCCACCAAGGCGACGAUGCGUAGCCGACCCUGAGAGGGUGACCGGCCACACUGGGACUGAGACACGGCCCAGACUCCUACGGGAGGCAGCAUG
rnacentral:rRNA from 1 species